CCUCAUAUAACCAGUAUCAUUACCUGUAUUAUUUAUUAUUCACGUCAUUCUAGAGGGGGUUUUGUGACAAACCCGUUUUAGACGAAACCAAAAUGACCAGUAUGGGAUCACUCUGGAGUUGACUCAGAAAAGGGGGUAGGAGGAAGGGAGCUGGGACAGAGGCAUUUGUACCAGGCAUGAUGAAGAAGGGCAGGGGAGAAGCAACAGAGAGAGAGGAAUCUGAUGUUCCCAGAGGAAAUAGCAAUGACCCCACAGAGCUGAGGACACCACGGGAAGAUGAGAAAGCUCACUGGGGAAGAAGCCCUUGACCUCCCAGAUGCCCAGCACUGGGUGUGCAGCAGAGCUGGUGAUUCCAGCUGGGGAGGUGAGGACUCCACUGCGAGCUGAGCGGGAACAGCCCCUUCCCAUGACUGAGGCCCCAGAGGCACGGAAUGGUCAGAAUGCCGGUGGCUGAGGGAGGCACGGGGGCAGCUGCUGGAGGAGGGAGACACGCAGAAGGAGCAUUUCAGGCACUGGAAGGACAGGUCAUUUCUCUGCCCCGCCUCCGCUCCUUCCUUUGCUGCCCCCAGAGAGUGGUUUCCGGCAGCUCUGUUAUCUCGGGGCUGGCAGGUGGUUUCUGACUCUCCCUCACUCAGCAAACACGCAGCUUGGUCUCGGCAUGCACCUCGCCUAUCUCAUCCUCACGGUCUUCCUGGGCCAGCUCCUGGUGGCUGUGGCCAGAGCCCAGGUCCAGCAGGAGCCACGGCUGGAGACCACCGAGAACACCGGCAUCAACAUCAGCUGCUCACAUCCCAAAAUCCAGACCGGAGACUGGAUCCAGUGGUACCGUCAGCUCCCGGGCCGAGGACCCGAACUGCUCGCGCUCACUGUGAAAGAGUCCAAAGAGCUGCCGGACAUUGCGGGCGGUCUGUGGGUGUCGGCAGAUCGCCGGAGCAGCGCGCUGUGGCUCCGGCGGCCCCGGCGCGGGGACGCGGCCGUGUAUUACUGCGCGCUGGGGGACACGGGCAGAGGAGCCGGGGCUGCGGCCGGGCACGAACCGCCGCGGGCGGGAGACACCGGCACCGGCACUGACAUUGGCAUCAACAGCGGCAUUGACACCGACACCAACACCGAUAUUGACACCGACUGA